GACGAACGCUGGCGGCGUGCCUAAUACAUGCAAGUAGAACGCACAGUUUAUACCGUAGCUUGCUACACCAUAGACUGUGAGUUGCGAACGGGUGAGUAACGCGUAGGUAACCUGCCUGGUAGCGGGGGAUAACUAUUGGAAACGAUAGCUAAUACCGCAUAAUAUUAAUUAUUGCAUGAUAAUUGAUUGAAAGAUGCAACUGCAUCACUACCAGAUGGACCUGCGUUGUAUUAGCUAGUAGGUGAGGUAACGGCUCACCUAGGCGACGAUACAUAGCCGACCUGAGAGGGUGAUCGGCCACACUGGGACUGAGACACGGCCCAGACUCCUACGGGAGGCAGCAGUAGGGAAUCUUCGGCAAUAGACGAAAGUCUGACCGAGCAACGCCGCGUGAGUGAAGAAGGUUGUCGGAUCGUAAAGCUCUGUUGUAAGAGAAGAACGGGUGUGAGAGUGGAAAGUUCACACUGUGACGGUAUCUUACCAGAAAGGGACGGCUAACUACGUG
rnacentral:rRNA from 1 species